rnacentral:rRNA from 1 species
AAGUCGUAACAAGGUUUCCGUAGGUGAACCUGCGGAAGGAUCAUUAUAGAAUUGGCGCAAGCCUUUACUUAACUCCAACUACAUCUGUGAACCUUUGCCCUCGGGCAAUUAUUACAAACAUAUAGUGAUGAAUGUAUUUAAAACAUAACAAAUACAACUUUCAACAACGGAUCUCUUGGCUCUCGCAUCGAUGAAGAACGCAGCGAAAUGCGAUAAGUAAUGUGAAUUGCAGAAUUCAGUGAAUCAUCGAAUCUUUGAACGCAAAUUGCGCCUUUUGGUAUUCCGAAAGGCAUGCCUGUUUGAGUGUCAUAUAGACCUCACCUAAUCGGUUUUCCGACUAUGGUGCUUUGGGUGUCUGCCAUUUGUUUGGCUCACCUUAAAUGUCUAAGUGGAACAGCGUGAUAAGUUCUUCGCUACCCUUCCACUCUAAAUCCAAUUCAAUCUCUGACCUCAAAUCAGGUAGGACUACCCGCUGAACUUAA